rnacentral:tRNA from 2 species
GCCCGUGUGGUGGAAUGGUAGACGCGGCGGACUCAAAAUCCGCUGAGUGAUGAACUCGUGCCGGUUCGAGUCCGGCCUCGGGCACCA